AGCUCCAAUAGCGUAUAUUAAAGUUGUUGCAGUUAAAAAGCUCGUAGUUGGAUUUCUGGACGGAGCGACCGGUCCGCCGCUGUGCGGUGUGUACUCGUGUUUGACUCGGUUCAUCCUUGUGGGAAAGCGUUUUCGGCAUUCAGUUGUCGUGACGGGGAACCACAUCUUUUACUGUGAAAAAUUAGAGUGUUUAAAGCAGGCAUUUUGCUGUGAAUACAUUAGCAUGGAAUAAUAACAUAGGACUCUGUUCUAUUUUGUUGGUUGGAGAUCAGGGUAAUGAUUAAUAGGGACAGUUGGGGGUAUUCAUAUUUAAUUGUCAGAGGUGAAAUUCUUGGAUUUAUGAAAGAUGAACUCAUGCGAAAGCAUUUACCAAGGAUGUUUUCA
rnacentral:rRNA from 1 species